rnacentral:rRNA from 1 species
AAAGGAGUAAGAAAAGGGCGCACGGGGGAUGCCUUGGGUCCUAUAGGCGACGAAGGGCGUGGCAAGCUGCGAAAAGCCGCGGGGAUCGGCAAGCACGAAUCGAUCCGCGGAUACCCGAAUGGGGCAACCCACCUGGCUGAAGGCCAGGUAUCCGGAGCAAUCCGGAGGCGAACGGGGAGAACUGAAACAUCUAAGUACCCCCAGGAGAAGAAAACAAAAGUGAUUCCCCGAGUAGCGGCGAGCGAAAGGGGAUUAGCCCAAACCCAUCCGGUUACGGCCGGGUGGGGGUUGUAGGGCCUCCACAACCGACCACGAGCGAAGCUGAACCCGCUGGAAAGCGGGGCCGUAGCGGGUGACAGCCCCGUAGGCGUAGGCGAGUGGAAGGGGGAGGAACCCUGAGUAGGGCGGGGCACGUGAAACCCCGUCCGAAUCCGGCAGGACCAUCUGCCAAGGCUAAAUACUCAUAGGACACCGAUAGCGAACCAGUACCGUGAGGGAAAGGUGAAAAGUACCCCGAAUAGGGGGGUGAAAAAGACCCUGAAACCGUGCGCCUACAAGCGGUCGGAGCCCUUUAGUGGGGUGACGGCGUGCCUUUUGCAUAAUGAGCCUACGAGUUGCUCCUGUCCGGCAAGGUUAAGCGCGGAUACGCGCGGAGCCGAAGCGAAAGCGAGCCUGAAUAGGGCGAUCUAAGUCGGACGGGGCAGACGCGAAACCUUGCGAUCUACCCAUGGCCAGGAUGAAGUUCCGGUAAUACGGAAUGGAGGUCCGAACCAAUAAGCGUUGAAAAGCUUCUGGAUGAGCUGUGGGUAGGGGUGAAAGGCUAAUCAAGCUGGGAAAUAGCUCGUACUCCCCGAAAUGCCUUUAGGGGCAGCCUUGGACUUACCGCCAUGGAGGUAGAGCUACCGAUUGGAUGCGAGGGCCUCACCGCCUAUCAAAUCCUGACGAACUCCGAAUGCCGUGGUGCGAUAUCCAGGAGUGAGCCGGCGGGUGCUAAUGUCCGUCGACGAGAGGGAAAGAACCCUGACCGCCAGCUAAGGCCCCCAAGAGGCGGCUAAGUUGAUGAAACGAUGUGCGGCUGCAGCGACAGCUAGGAUGUUAGCUUGGAAGCAGCUAUUCAUUUAAAGAGUGCGUAACAGCUCACUAGUCGAGCGGCUGCGCGUGGAUAAUAAUCGGGCAUCAAGCCGUCCGCCGAAGCUGCGGAUAAGAAAUUAUGGUAGGGGAGCAUUCCGGCAGCGGUGAAGCUGGCCCGUAAGGGCUGGUGGAGCGGCCGGAAAAGCAAAUGUAGGCAUGAGUAACGACAAGGCGGGUGCGAAACCCGCCCACCGCUAGGCCAAGGUUUCCUGAUCAACGCUAAUCGGAUCAGGGUAAGGCGGGGCCUAAGGCUCACCCGAAUGGGGAUGCCGAUGGACAGCCGGUUAAUAUUCCGGCCCUGGCCCGCGCUGCGAUGGGGCGACGAAGGAGUGAAAGGACCGCCCGGCGACGGAAUGCCGGGUUGAAGGGUGUAGGUAUAGCCUGUAGGUUAACAGCCGGAGGUUGCCGAACCUGAUAGUACCGAGAGCCCACGGGCAAUCGGAUAGCGUCCCUAAUCCGACUUCCAAGAAAACCCCCUAAGCAUCAGGCGCGGGCCACCCGUACCGCAAACCGACACAGGUGGCCAAGGAGAGUAUCCUAAGGUGCUCGAGUGAAUCACGGCUAAGGAACUCGGCAAAUUAGCCCCGUAACUUCGGGAUAAGGGGCCCCCGCGUGAGCGGGGCGCAGCGAAGAGGUCCAGGCGACUGUUUACCAAAAACACAGGGCUCUGCGAAACCGAAAGGUGAAGUAUAGGGCCUGACACCUGCCCGGUGCCGGAAGGUUAAGAGGAGAGGUCAUCGCAAGAGAAGCUUUGAAUCGAAGCCCCGGUAAACGGCGGCCGUAACUAUAACGGUCCUAAGGUAGCGAAAUUCCUUGUCGGGUAAGUUCCGACCUGCACGAAUGGUGUAACGAUCUGGACGCUGUCUCAGCCGUGAGCUCGGUGAAAUUGUAGUAUCGGUGAAGAUGCCGAUUACCCGCAACGGGACGGAAAGACCCCGUGCACCUUCACUGCAGCUUAGCGCUGGUUCUGGGGUGGCGAUGUGUAGGAUAGGCUGGAGGCUGCGAAGCUCGGACGCUAGUUCGGGUGGAGCCGACGUUGAAAUACAGCCCUUCGCCACUUCGGGGCCUAAUCCCUGGUAGGGAGACACCGCUUGGCGGGUAGUUUGACUGGGGUGGUCGCCUCCAAAAGAGUAACGGAGGCUUCCCAAGGUGCCCUCAGCGCGAAUGGCAACCGCGCGUGGAGUGCAAUGGCACAAGGGCGCUUGACUGUGAGGCCGACAAGCCGAUCAGGUGCGAAAGCAGGGCAUAGUGAUCCGGUGGUUCCGCAUGGGAGGGCCAUCGCUCAAAGGAUAAAAGGUACGCCGGGGAUAACAGGCUGAUCGCCGCCAAGAGCUCACAUCGACGCGGCGGUUUGGCACCUCGAUGUCGGCUCGUCACAUCCUGGGGCUGGAGAAGGUCCCAAGGGUUCGGCUGUUCGCCGAUUAAAGUGGCACGCGAGCUGGGUUCAGAACGUCGUGAGACAGUUCGGUCCCUAUCUGUUGCGGGCGUAGGAAGUUUGAGGGGGCCUGACCCUAGUACGAGAGGACCGGGUUGGACGAGCCUCCGGUGUACCAGUUGUUCCGCCAGGAGCACCGCUGGGUAGCCGCGCUCGGUUGGGAUAAGCGCUGAAAGCAUCUAAGCGCGAAGCCUACCCCAAGAUGAGACUUCCCUUAAGGGCCGUGGGAGACUACCACGUUGAUAGGCCGCAGGUGUACGCGCUGUAAGGCGCUCAGCCGAGCGGUACUAAUUGCCCAGUAGAGCUCCGAGAGGGCCGCGCCCUUAGCGGGCAGACGCCGCUUCGUCCGAAGAAUGUCAA